rnacentral:rRNA from 1 species
UAUCUCUGUAGAGUCUGCAUAUCAAUAAGCGGAGGAAAAGAAACUAACUAGGAUUCCCUCAGUAACGGCGAGUGAAGCGGGAAGAGCUCAAAUUUGAAAUCUUCGAGGUUCUACCUUGACGAAUUGUAGUUUAAAGAAGUGUUUUCUGUUGAAGUUUUGGUAAAAGUUCUUUGGAAUAGGACAUCAUAGAGGGUGAGAAUCCCGUAUUUGACCAGUUAUUUCCAGCUUUGUGAUACACUUUCAAAGAGUCGGAUUGUUUGGGAAUGCAGUCCAAAAUGGGUGGUAAAUUUCAUCUAAAGCUAAAUAUUGGCGAGAGACCGAUAGCGAACAAGUACCGUGAGGGAAAGAUGAAAAGAACUUUGAAAAGAGAGUUAAACAGUACGUGAAAUUGUCAAAAGGGAAGCGUUUGACACCAGUGUUGUUUCUACGAAAAUCAAUUUAUGAUGGCUUGAUGCUAAGCUUUAAGACUUUAUCCGCUUGUUGUUUAGUUUUCUUGUCUUUGUGAAUGCACUUUUCGUGGAACAAGUCAACAUCAAUUUCUUUUGCUGUAAAAGGGUAAGAGGAAGGUGGCUUCGGCUUCGGUUGAAGUGUUUAUAGCCUUUUAUCUCUGCAGUCGGAGAGAUUGAGGUCUGCAGCGUAGACUCUUCGGGGUUAGAUACGUCGGUGCUAAGCUAUAGCUUUUCACAGACAACUUGUUGACUAUGUUUAGUCAUGUGGCUUACCCGCUGGCGCUAUUUUACCUACGCUUAGGAUGUUGAGUCAUCACACAUCUC